UAAGAACUGUAAAUAUCGGAUGAAUCUAAAGGUUAUCAAGACCAGAUGUGUUAGUUUAAACAUAUUUAUUCAUAGGGGAAUGGAAAACAAGUUACUGAAACUUAAAUUAACCCCUUUCCACUUUCGGGUGCGAGUGCUGCCUUGUAGCGGCAUUAUUCUACUCUUUUUCGAAAUCUACAAGGGCGUCUUUUUCGUGCAAGAAAUAUGUCUCUCUCUUAACAUGGGUCAGCCAUUUAUCGCCCCCUUCCGCCGGACUAUCAUCGUUCUCAAGACCAUACUCGCAAAUGGUGUCAGCGGAGAGCCGACAAUUCAGUCCCUAAAAUUUUCAUCCCGAAACGGGGAUCGAACAAGGAACUUUUGUGUUAGAAGUCCAAUUACUUAACCACUACACUACGACUCGUCUCUCCAGAAGUGUUAGCAAGUGUUGCCUGCUUUGCAAACAUCAUACCGUUCAACAAUCAAUGCAAAAUAAACAUGCAGUUGACAAUGCAAUAGGAGAUAAUCAAUUUUAUCGACGUAUAACCC
rnacentral:lncRNA from 1 species